GCAUGCGAGUCGAACGGCAGCACAGCUAAGAGCAUGCUCUUAUGGGUGGCGAGUGGCGGACGGGUGAGGAAUACAUCGGAAUCUACUUUUUCGUGGGGGAUAACGUAGGGAAACUUACGCUAAUACCGCAGACGACCUACGGGUGAAAGCAGGGGAUCUUCGGACCUUGCGCGAUUGAAUGAGCCGAUGUCGGAUUAGCUAGUUGGCGGGGUAAAGGCCCACCAAGGCGACGAUCCGUAGCUGGUCUGAAAGGAUGAUCAGCCACACUGGAACUGAGACACGGUCCAGACUCCUACGGGAGGCAGCAGUGGGGAAUAUUGGACAAUGGGCGCAAGCCUGAUCCAGCCAUACCGCGUGGGUGAAGAAGGCCUUCGGGUUGUAAAGCCCUUUUGUUGGGAAAGAAAUCCAGCCGGCUAAUACCUGGUUGGGAUGACGGUACCCAAAGAAUAAGCACCGGCUAACUUCGUGCCAGCAGCCGCGGUAAUACGAAGGGUGCAAGCGUUACUCGGAAUUACUGGGCGUAAAGCGUGCGUAGGUGGUUGUUUAAGUCUGUUGUGAAAGCCCUGGGCUCAACCUGGGAACUGCAGUGGAAACUGGACAACUAGAGUGUGGUAGAGGGUAGCGGAAUUCCCGGUGUAGCAGUGAAAUGCGUAGAGAUCGGGAGGAACAUCCAUGGCGAAGGCAGCUACCUGGACCAACACUGACACUGAGGCACGAAAGCGUGGGGAGCAAACAGGAUUAGAUACCCUGGUAGUCCACGCCCUAAACGAUGCGAACUGGAUGUUGGGUGCAAUUUGGCACGCAGUAUCGAAGCUAACGCGUUAAGUUCGCCGCCUGGGGAGUACGGUCGCAAGACUGAAACUCAAAGGAAUUGACGGGGGCCCGCACAAGCGGUGGAAGUAUGUGGUUUAAUUCGAUGCAACGCGAAGAACCUUACCUGGCCUUGACAUGUCGAGAACUUUCCAGAGAUGGAUUGGUGCCUUCGGGAACUCGAACACAGGUGCUGCAUGGCUGUCGUCAGCUCGUGUCGUGAGAUGGUUGGGUUAAGUCCCGCAACGAGCGCAACCCUUGUCCUUAGUUGCCAGCACGUAAUGGUGGGAACUCUAAGGAGACCGCCGUGACAACCGGAGA
rnacentral:rRNA from 1 species